rnacentral:lncRNA from 1 species
GAGUAUGGUCUUGAGGAAACGAUGAUAGUCCGUCGGAAGGGGACGAUAAAUAGCUGACCCGUGUUAAGAGAGAGCCAUAUCUCUUGCACGUUAAAGACACCCUUGUAGAUUUCGAAAAAGAGUAGGCUAAUGCCACUACAAGGCAGCACUCGCACCCGCAAAGUGGAAAGGGAUUAAUAUAAGUUGCAAAACUUGUUUCCCAAUCCAC